CACUACUGCUCUGCCAGUUUGAGACCUCUCAAGAGGAGAUUUUCUUGAUUUUCUUUACAUAUAGAAGCCCAUGGACCUUUCUACAGGCAAAGCUGACUCCAAUCCAUCUUGGCCAAGUUCCACACUUUCUACUUGUGGUUCAGUGUUUGGUGUGCUGGAAACCUUGUUAAAUGCAGACUUUGAUGGAGUAGGUCUGCAGAGGAGCCGAGGUCCCUCUAACUACGUCUCAGGUGAUACAGAUGUUACUGGUCCUAAGAAUCCUGUCCAGCAGAUGGGUUCAAGGGAACAUGACAGGAG
rnacentral:lncRNA from 1 species